AGUAAUUUAAGUGUUUAUUUUAGGAUGAUGGACUCCCUGAGUGUCCAACGGUUGAUUGACGGCCGCACGUCGGCUUAGGUUUCGAUUCGUCAUUGGCUCGCUGCGCCUCCUCAUUGGUUGAAUCUAGAGACAUGUGACCGUUUGUCCUCUUCCACACUACGCGGCAAACUGUUUCGGCAGAGACGGUUGACUAGAGAGGAUCGAAUCAAUAUCGCCAAGGGAUUGCUCAGAGUGAGCGAAGACAUUUUUGAACUUCACGGGAAUGUAAACAGGUUGGGAUAGUGACAUGGCCUCACUUCUCCUGCUGGUCUACCUCCUGCCACCACCUCCAAGUGGAAAGAAGGGAGCUGUCAAAAUCAGUAUCCGGGAAGCUGUGGAUCGUGUAGUGAAGUUUCACAGGGUAACUGUAUCCUGAUAAUUUUUAUUUUAAAAGGUAUUUUUAAAGGUCCCAUGGCAUGCCGCCAGAGCUUGUGUGUUGCUGAUGGAUGUCACAAUCUCUGUGUUUGUCAAUCUACUUAUCGAGUCUUGAAAACAAUGGCGUCGACGGGUGAUCUACUGAUGGUAUUGUGUGUAUAAAAUGUACUUUUUAAUAAACAAUCUGUACACUUACAAA